rnacentral:lncRNA from 1 species
ACGAAAUCUGAAAGUGCUCAGAAUACUAAAAGGGACAUACCAUUUUUCUAAUCCUUUCAUCUAUUCAACAGAUAUUUACUGUGUUCCUACUAUGUGCUAGGGACUGUGCCAUGUCCUAAGGUUGAAGGAUACCAGAAGGAACAAAUUAUCCUUGUGCUUAAAUAAGCUUAGUUCUAUGGGAAGAAGCAGAAAUAUAAGGUAAUUUCAGGUAGAAAACAAUUCUAUCAAUCUGUAAAGAUGGGGAGGUAUCUGAGGAUAUGAAAGUUGGUUUCACACAUGAAUGAGGAAGGAGUUGGCCAUGCAGAUCAUAAACAAGAUGAGUUAGGUGGUCAGGGACCAGAUUAUGGGUAGUCUUGUGGUUUGAGAUAAUGAGGUUUUAUUAUAAAUACAAUGUGAAGCCAUUAGAAAUUUAUAUUAUGAUACAUCAUUUUAAAAGAUAACUCUGGCUGUUGUGUGGAGAAAUGAUUAUUUGGGACAAUAAUGUGACUAGGAAGACCCAGAGGUACCCAUUGCAGAAGUCUGGGACAUAUAAUAGAGGCUUUUAGACUAGGAUUUGUAAAGAAGAGCAAAGAUUUGCUUAAGAAUUGGAUUUGAGGGUUUUAAAGGAAUGAGACCACAGUGAUGGCUCCCAGGUUUCUUAGUGAGCAGUUGGUAGAUAAUGGUAUCAUUAAAUGAGAUGGGAAGGUAUUUUGGCAAUAGGUAGAGCCAACAAAGAAAACAAAAGUGAACUACAAGCUUGAAAAUAAAUAUAGUAGAAUAAAAGAAACUAGGUAUUUCAAAACAGAGGGAUCAACUGUGAAUGCUGCUGAGAGGUUAAAUAGGAGGGCAGGAGUUCCCAUCAUGGCACAAUGGUUAACAAGUCCAACUAGGAACCAUAAGAUUGUAGGUUCCAUCCCUGGCCUCGCUCAGUGAGUUAAGGAUCUGGCAUUGCUGUGAGCUGUGGUGUAGGUCACAGACACAGCCUGGAUCCCAUGCUGCUGUGGCUCUGGUGUAGUCUGGCAGCUACAGCUCCUAUUAGACCCCUAGCCUGGGAACCUCCAUAUGCCGUGGGUGCUGCCCUAGAAAAGACAAAAAAAUAAAAAUUAAAAAUAAGAGGAGGGCAAAGAAGGGGCCUCAGAUUUAGCAAAAUAUAAGUCUUCAGAGAUGGCUAAUGAGCGGCCUCUGGUGUGAUGAGGUAUUCCAGCUCUACCGUUGGACUGAGAAAUUUUAAAUAGUCACUGUCCUUAAUUUAUCAUUAUAAAUUGAACAUUUUAAAAAUAAUAAUCCAUCCUUUUUUACAUCUUCUGAAUGUUACGUGGGAUAACUUAGGAAAAUAUGAUAUACAGCAGACCAUAACUACAGACUUUAACUAUAAACAGCCUUCUAAAGUGUCUCUUCCUAUAAAAUAUUUUGAAACCCCCUUUUCCCCUUUCCAAUGCUAUAUAUAAGCAUUUAAUUAAACUUUUCUUCUUUGAUGCCUAUUAACUAUAAAAUUGUAUGAAAUCCGUGGCUUUACCUAUAAAAGCGGUCAAACCUGGUAUUUAUUAAGAAUUGAACUUGUUAUAUAUGCAAACUAAGACCUUUCAGCUGAUACCAGCUUUCACCAUAUCUUGAAAUAUAUUGUUAUAUUUCAGCUGAAUAUUAAUGUCACCAAAAUCAUGAAUUCUUGAAAUGUUUGGAUUUAUCUCCAGGGAACUACAGAGAUUAGUAAUAUAUAGAAGUAAAUAAUGCUAUAACAAUUAAGGAUUGGUAUUGUUGAGUAAUCUCAAAUUGACGGUGGAACAGUAUGUCUUAUCCUGAAAUUGUUUUAUCUGAAAGUAUAUUUUUGCUUAUACUUGAAUGCCCAUGAAGCAAUUAGAAUAAUUAAAUUUAUAAAUUGUCCUAUCUCAGAAUUAUAGUAGUCAUUUUCUAUAAUCAAAAAUCAAGAAGUUCCCAUUAUGGCACAGCAGAAAUGAAUCCAGCUAGGAACCAUGAGGAUACAGGUUCAAUCCCUGGCCUUGCUCAGUGGGUUAAGGAUCUGGCAUUGUCGUGAGCUAUGGUGUAGGUUGCAGACGCAGCUCGGAUCCUGCAUGGCUGUGGCUGUGGCAUUGGCCUGCGGCUGCAGCUCCAAUUCAACCCCUAACCUGGGAAACUCCAUAUACUGCGGAUGUAGCCCUAAAAGGAAAAGAACAAAAAUCAGGAAACAGGGAGUUCCCUGGUGGCCUAGUGGUUGAGGAUUCAGCAUUGUCACUGCUGUGGCUUGAGUUCAAUCCCUGGCCAGAUUCCUGGCUAGGCACUUCCACAUGCCAUCAGCACAGCCUCCCCCCUCCCCCCAAAAAAAGAGAGAGAACAAUUGACAAGUGAGAUUGCUUCUGAGGAUAAAAUAUGCGAACUCUAUUUCAGGUUUCCAUCUUAAAGAUGCCUGUCUUUUGCAGCUUCCCAGGGGAGAGGAGUACGGAAAAGUAGAAAGCUCUGGGGAGUGGAGACCUGCAUUCCUCUGCUGCCCAAGAGUUGAAACCUUGCCACUUUACCUCUCUGGCCUCCAGUUUUCUCAGUUGAGUAAUUCUUUUUAAUCUCAAGUAUUCAGAAUUGAGAAAAUAAUAACUCUUUGCAUAUGGCACACUAUCAUGUUCUCUCAAUUUACUUGCCAUGUGUUUAGAUAUGCAUGAAUGUUGAAAAAAUAUACAAUGUUUAUUUUUAGUGUCUGUAAAUGAAUUAUAUUUCAUUCCCUUUUAAAACUUUUUGUUACUUUUUCACUCUAAUUCACUAUUUCUGUUUAUUUCUUCCAUCUCAUACAUAUGCCACAAUUUACCUUUUCAUUCGUCUUGUGUUCCUUCCAUAGCCUUACUACAGUAAAUAAUUACGUGAUGACCUAUCUCUUAUGGACUUGUGCAAAAAUUACUCUGGGGUGUGUAUUGGAAAGUAUUAGGUCUUAGGGGAUAAUACUUAAUUUUACCAAACACUACCAGAUUAUACAUCAAAAUAGCUACACCAUUUAUGCUUCCACCGGUAGUGCAUGAGGGUUCCAGUUUUCUCCUAGCCUUGAUGGCCCUUGAUAAUAUCUGACUUGUUCUAAAAUGAUAAAACAAUGAAUUUUACUGUUCAUUUUAACCAACACUUUUUAUUUACUAAUAAGCUUGAAAAUCUCUUCAUACACUUAAUAGCCAUUCAGGUUUCCCUUUCUAUGGACUGCUCUUCACAUUGUGUUACAAGCUUUCUUUCUUUCUUUUUUUUUUUUUUUUUUUUAACUGAUUUGUGGAAGGUCAACGUAUAUUCUAGGUAGUAAUUCCUUAUCUGUUUUCUUUUAUAUUUGCAAAUACCCUCUGAAGCAUUGUCUCUAGUUUCCUUCAUUGAACAGCGGUCUUUCAUUUUUAGGUUAAAUCUAUCCAUUUUAUUUUUCCAUUUUCACCCAUACUUUCUUGGAUCUUGUUUAAGAAGUUCUUUCUUACAUUAAUACCAUUAAAAAAGUUCUUUUAUUGUUAACCGCUUUAUAUUUCUUUGUAAUUUAUUUUUGUAUAUGAUUAAAAGUAGGAAUCAAGAUUUAUUCUUUUCUGUGUAAUGAGCUUAUUGUCUCAGUACCAUACUAAAUUAUUAUUCUUUACUGAUUUGUGAUGCCACCUUUUUCAAUUGCCAAGUUUCCACAUAUGCAAGGGAUGUAUUCGUGGACUCUCAAAUUUGCUUACCUGUUCUAUUUGUUGCUUUACUAGUGUUUGAUUCACCUUGUAUUUUUAUUACUGAGCAAAAUACUGUCUUAAUUACAGGAGAAUCUCCCCUUAAUUACAGGUGCUGCUCAUUUUGAAAAUUAUUUUAGUAUUCAUAGACCUCCAUUUUUCUGUCUUAGUCUUGGAAUCAGUUUGUUAAGUUCUCUUAAAGUCCUAUAGAGGUUUGGUUUUGUUUGUUUGUUUGUUUUUUGGCUUUUAUCCUUUUAGGGACACACCCUCAGCACAUGGAGGUUCCCAGGGAGGGAUCAAAUCAGAGCUGUAACCACUGGCCUACACCAGAGCCACAGCAACACCAGAUCUGAGCUGCAUCUGCAACCUCCACCAUAGCUCAUGGCAACACCGGAUCCUUAACCCACCAAGCAAAGCCAGGGAUCGAACUCACAACCUGAUGGUUCCUAGUCGGAUUUGUUUCUGCUGCACCACGAUGGGAACUCCAAAGUCCUAUAGAGUUUUAAUUGGAAUUGAAUUUAGAGGUUAAUUUGUCUCCUUUUAUGUUAUCUUAGCGAGUCUUUAGUUUUUCUCCAUAAAAGUCAGCAUUUUUAUUGUAUUAAUUUCUAAAUAUGUAUAGUUUAUACAUUCUUAUUUCCUAAAAUAUCUUUAGUUGGUUAUUGGUGGGGCAAAAGAAUGAUAAUGAUAUUGCAUACUGUUUUUUUUAAAUCUGUCAGCCUUGCUAAGCCUUGCUGAACCUUAUUCUAUCAAUAGUUGGUCUGUUAAUUCGUCUUUGUUUUUUUUCCAUGUAUUUCUAUGCAUUUUCUUCCAUCACUACACCUCUUUUUUCUUUGUCUUUUAUUGCUCAAGAUCUCCAAUAACACAUGGAAAAUUAGUGUUAACAGCCAGCAUUCUUCUCUCAAAGAAAAAGCAUUUUGAGUUUCUUUGUUAGACAUGAGGUUUGUGGUCGGUUUAAGGGAGUUAGCGUUCAGUAAUAAAGUUUCUGGAGUUCUGGUGGCUCAGCAGAUUAAGGAUCCAGCAUUGUUGCUGCAGUGGCUCCGGUCACUGCUGUGGUCCAGGUUUGAUCCCUGGCCCCAGAACUUCCACACGCCACAUGUGUAGCCAUAAAUAAAUAAAUAAAGCCAUAAAUAAAUGAAUAAAGUUUCCUUCUAUUUCUAGUCUCCUGAGAGGUUGUAUGUAUUUUUUCCCUUUUUAAUCACAAAUAGGUUUUGAGAUUUAUUAAGUGUCUCUGAACAUAGUAAAAUGAUCAUGGGAUUUUUCUCUUUGCCCAUUCAUGAAGUGAAUUACACUCAUAGAUUUUCUAGUGUUAACUCAUUCCUACAUUAUAAACUCAAGCUAAUGAUUAUAUGUGUUUCCUUUUUCAAUACAGUUUUAGACUUAUCAGCCAACAUUUUAUUUAGUGGUUUACUGUCAUGUUUUUAAGUGCAAUCGGCCUAUAAUUCUCUCUUCUUGGACUGUUCUUAAUCAGUUUAGUUAUCAAGGUUACUUUAUAUAUAUCAAAAUGAGUAGGUAACUUUCACUCUAUUUCUGGUUUUCAGAACAAUAUAUAUAAUAAAAGUAUAGUCUGUUCUUUGGAAGAACUUGCUUGUAGUGCUGUUUGGACUGAGACCUUUUAGAAAUUUAGAAAUAGUAAGACUAUUAAAUUACUAUUUCAGUUUAAUUUUUCAUCCUUUCAAACGUGAUUCUUCAUCUAUACAAGUGUUCUGCUUCAUCUUUUGCUAUUUUAACAUUUUUUUUCAGAAACAUUUUGUCUAGGUCUUUAAAUUUAUUAGGAUAGUUAUGUUUAUAAAUGUAAGCUUAUUAAAAUUAAAUGUUAUAAGCAUAUAUUCAUACUUAUUCCCUGCUUCUUGCUCUGUAUUUGUUUAUCUUAUCAGCCUUUCCAAAAUACCAGCUUUUGAUUCAUCUUUAUUAUUUUUGUUGAUCUCUGAUUGAUUUCUGUCCCAAUCUGUAUUACUUAAUUUUCAUUUCUUUGAAUAUAUAUUCUGCAGCUUCUUUUUCUACCUUCUUGAGAUGAAUCAUUAUCAAACUUUGUUAUAAUUUGCUCCAAAUUCUUGAUUUAACAUGCAGAGUUUUAGUUGACAUUCAUUUACCUUUUAAGCCAAGAAUUUUUAGCAAUGUGGGAUUUGUUUUUAGUUACCAAAUAUAUGGGAUAUUUUCAGCCACUCAUUGUUAUAGACUUUUUAUUUUAAUACAUACUGUUUAGAGAAUAUAAUAUCAAUUUUCAGGAAUGAACUGAAAUUUGCUUUGUAGUUUGGUAUAGACAAUUUUUGUAAUUGUUCCAUUUAUGCUUUAAAAUAAUGUAUAUUCUGUAACCUUCUCCAAACUAUUAGCUCAAGCAUGUUAAAUUAGUUCAUAUCUAUAUUUUGGGGGCUUGGGGGGGUUUGGCUUUAUUGGUGUUUUUUUUUUCUUUUGGCUGCUAUAUCAGUUUCAUAGAGGAAUUUAUUAAAAUCUUCAGCUAUAACUGUUGAUUUCUUUCUUUCUGUAAUUCUGUCACCUGUUGCUUUAUGUAUUUUAUGGCAUAAUUGUUAGCAACAUAUAUAUUCAUGAUUGUUAUAUCUUUUUGCUUUUACUAGUCAGUAUGUUUCUCUUUGUCCCUUAUGAUUUUUUUCCUUAUGAUCUGUUGUAUCUCAUAUUAAAAUUGCUCCUUUAGCUCUUGCUGUUGUUGAUUAUAUUUGCCUGGUAUACUUUCUCUUUUAUCUUCAACAUUUUUCGUAUUUUUUUUUGACAAGUACAUCUUGCAGACAACAUAUUGCUGGAUUUUAAUAUUUUAAAAUUCAAUUUGAGGGUCUCUGCUUUUGGUGUUUAUUUAACAAAUUCAAAAUUAUUAUAGUUAUUGUAGGAUUUGUCAUCUAAAUAUUUUAGUAUUUUUCUCUUUAGCAGUUCUAUUUUGAAAUAAUUUUAGAUUUAUAGAAGUGUUGCACAGAGUUCCUAUAUACUUCUCACUCAGCUUCCUCUAAUAUUAACAUCUUAUUAUGAUGGUACAUUUAUCAGAUCCUAGAACUUAUCUCAGUUUCUAUGUGUUUUAUGUCUUCUCAUCAACAAAAUAAACUGCCUUUAAAUUUUGC